GCCUUCUUGGCCAAGCGGUAAGGCGUUGCACUUGUAUAACACAAGGUUAUGCAAAGAUCACUCGUUCGAAUCGGGUAGGAGGCA
rfam:Pleurotus ostreatus PC15 unplaced genomic scaffold scaffold_03, whole genome shotgun sequence.